rnacentral:snoRNA from 12 species
UAUUUUAUUCAAUGAUGAGUUCUGUGUUUGAAAAAAUUAAUGAUGCACACAAUAUUUCGUCACUACCACUGAGAAAAUAAAAAA